UACGGAGGGUGCAAGCGUUAAUCGGAAUAACUGGGCGUAAAGGGCAUGCAGGCGGUUAAACAAGUAGGAUGUGAAAGCCCGGGGCUCAACCUCGGAAUUGCAUUCUAAACUGUGUAACUAGAGUAUUGCAGGGGGAGACGGAAUUCCAGGUGUAGCGGUGGAAUGCGUAGAGAUCUGGAAGAACACCAAAGGCGAAGGCAGUCUCCUGGGCAAAUACUGACGCUCAUAUGCGAAAGCGUGGGUAGCAAACAGGAUUAGAUACCCUGGUAGUCCACGCCGUAAACGAUGUUG
rnacentral:rRNA from 1 species